UACAGAGGUCCCGAGCGUUGUUCGGAUUCACUGGGCGUAAAGGGUGCGUAGGUGGCAGGGUAAGUUUGAUGUGAAAUCUCCGGGCUUAACCCGGAAACUGCAUUGAAUACUAUCCUGCUCGAGGUUUGGAGGGGGGACUGGAAUUCUCGGUGUAGCAGUGAAAUGCGUAGAUAUCGGGAGGAACACCAGUGGCGAAGGCGAGUCCCUGGACAACACCUGACACUGAGGCACGAAAGCUAGGGGAGCAAACAGG
rnacentral:rRNA from 1 species